rnacentral:rRNA from 1 species
AACAUGGCAAGUCGAGCGGCCAGCGCGGGGCAACCUGGCGGCGAGCGGCGGACGGGUGAGGAAUGCAUCGGAAUCUACCCUGUCGUGGGGGAUAACGUAGGGAGCCUUACGCUAAUACCGCAUACGACCGAGAGGUGAAAGUGGGGGACCGCAAGGCCUCACGCGAUUGGAUGAGCCGAUGCCGGAUUAGCUAGUUGGAGGGGUAAAGGCCCACCAAGGCGACGAUCCGUAGCUGGUCUGAGAGGAUGAUCAGCCACAUUGGGACUGAGACACGGCCCAAACUCCUACGGGAGGCAGCAGUGGGGAAUAUUGGACAAUGGGCGCAAGCCUGAUCCAGCCAUGCCGCGUGUGUGAAGAAGGCCUUCGGGUUGUAAAGCACUUAGGUUCGGGANGAAAUCGUGCGGAUUAAUACUCUGUACGGAUGACGGUACCGAAAGAAUAAGCACCGGCUAACUUCGUGCCAGCAGCCGCGGUAAUACGAAGGGUGCAAGCGUUACUCGGAAUCACUGGGCGUAAAGCGUGCGUAGGCGGUUCGUUAAGUCUGCUGUGAAAGCCCUGGGCUCAACCUGGGAACUGCAGUGGAUACUGGCGGACUAGAGUGUGAUAGAGGAUGGUGGAAUUCCCGGUGUAGCGGUGAAAUGCGUAGAGAUCGGGAGGAACACCAGUGGCGAAGGCGGCCAUCUGGAUCAACACUGACGCUGAGGCACGAAAGCGUGGCGAGCAAACAGGAUUAGAUACCCUGGUAGUCCACGCCCUAAACGAUGCGAACUGGACGUUGGUUGCAACUUGGCAAUCAGUGUCGAAGCUAACGCGUUAAGUUCGCCGCCUGGGGAGUACGGUCGCAAGACUGAAACUCCAAGGAUUGACGGGGGCCCGCACAAGCGGUGGAGUAUGUGGUUUAAUUCGAUGCAACGCGAAGAACCUUACCUGGCCUUGACAUCCAGUGAACUUUCCAGAGAUGGAUUGGUGCCUUCGGGAACACUGAGACAGGUGCUGCAUGGAUGUCGUCAGCUCGUGUCGUGAGAUGUUGGGUUAAGUCCCGCAACGAGCGCAACCCUUGUCCUUAGUUGCCAGCACGUAAAGGUGGGAACUCUAAGGAGACUGCCGGUGACAAACCGGAGGAAGGUGGGGAUGACGUCAAGUCAUCAUGGCCCUUACGGCCAGCCCUACACACGUACUACAAUGGUCGGUACAGAGGGUUGCAAUACCGCGAGGUGGAGCCAAUCCCAGAAAACCGAUCCCAGUCCGGAUCGGAGUCUGCAACUCGACUCCGUGAAGUCGGAAUCGCUAGUAAUCGCGGAUCAGCUAUGCCGCGGUGAAUACGUUCCCGGGCCUUGUACACACCGCUCGUCACACCAUGGGAGUUGGUUGCUCCAGAAG